AAUCAACGCUGGCGGCGCGCUUAACACAUGCAAGUCGAACGAGAAAGGGUCCUUCGGGGCCUGAGUAAAGUGGCGGACGGGUGAGUAACACGUGGGUUACCUGCCCUCGAGUGGGGAAUAACUCCGGGAAACUGGAGCUAAUACCGCAUACGACCCUUCGGGGUGAAAGGCUUCGGUCGCUCGAGGAUGGGCCCGCGGUCGAUUAGCUAGUUGGUAGGGUAAAGGCCUACCAAGGCACCGAUCGAUAGCCGGCCUGAGAGGGCACACGGCCACACUGGCACUGAGACACGGGCCAGACUCCUACGGGAGGCAGCAGUGGGGAAUCUUGGACAAUGGGGGAAACCCUGAUCCAGCGACGCCGCGUGACCGAUGAAGGCCCUCGGGUCGUAAAGGUCUUCGACGGGGAACAAUAGUGAUGGUACCCGUAUAAGAAGGAGCGGCUAACUACGUGCCAGCAGCCGCGGUAAUACGUAGGCUCCAAGCGUUGUUCGGAAUUACUGGGCGUAAAGCGAGUGUAGGCGGUCCGUCAAGUCGGUUGUGAAAUCUCCUGGCUCAACUGGGAGGGUGCGACCGAAACUGACGGACUAGAGUCUGGGAGAGGAGAGUGGAAUUCCUGGUGGUAGCGGUGAAAUGCGUAGAUAUCAGGAGGAACACCGGUGGUGAAGACGGCUCUCUGGACCGGUACUGACGCUGAGACUCGAAAGCGUGGGGAGCAAACAGGAUUAGAUACCCGGGGUAGU
rnacentral:rRNA from 1 species